AUUAGGGUUUGCAAGGGUGUCACCAGUGCUUGGAAUGUUCUGGAGGUUGGGUGACGUGGGAAGUGGAGCGGCCGUAGGAGACCAAGUCACGUGCGUCUUCGUAAAUGCGUUCCCAGGUGGCGUGUGCGGAGUGGGUAGUUCAAGCGGUGUUGUCAGAGGGUUAUUAGGGUUGGCGGAAGGAGGUAAGUUUAGAAGAGGUGUGGGGUUCGUACUUGAGGUAGAUGAACUCUCUGGAGAUACCCCUUUGAACUGACGGAGAAAAGAGACGUGAAACACCGGGUGGAUACGUGAUGCCGAGGGAAGUAUGAGCUCGUAGGCCACCUUUCCUAUGCGACGCACAAUCUUGUAGGGACCUGAAAAACGAGGAGUGAGCUUGGGUGAGCGGCGCCGUUCAAGCGAGUGUUAACGGUUGCAGACGAAGCCAUACCCACUCGCCGACGGUGAAGGAGAGUUCAGUGCGGUGGUUGUCCGUCUGGGCACACAUCCGUUGGCGGUUGGGGUGGAGGUUGUGCUUCAAGUGAUGGAUGACGAUGGUGUGCUCGUGUAGCAGGUCCGAAAUCGUGGUGCCUGUUCGGGGUGUGUGGAGUAUGUCAAUGGCGGUGGGUGGCGGUCGUCCAUAUAAUGCGUGGAAAGGGGAGGUGUCAAUGGAGGAAUGGUAAGACAUAUUAUACCAUAACUCUGCGAGGUGAAGAAAUCUGUACCAUGAAUGGGGGUGGUGACUGGCAAAAUAGCAAAGGUAAACUUCUAAUCCCCUAUUCAAAACCUCUGUUUGACCAUCAGUUUGAGGAUGGUAUGAAGAACUGAAACGUACUGUUGUUCCUUGGGCUUUGAACAGGUUCCGCCAAAAGGUGCUCGUGAAAAUAGGGUCUCGGUCCGAUACGAUGCUCGUGGGGAGUCCAUGUAAGCGGCAGAUCUCAGCGGAGAACCUUUGAGCGAGGGUUUGGGUUGUGUAGUGAGUGGGUAAGGCCAAGAAGUGAGUGUACUGGGACAGACAGUCACAGAUCAUCCAAAUUACAGUGUGGCAAGCAGAUGGAAGUAAGUGUGUAAUGAAGUCCAUAGAGAUGUCUGCCCAGACUUGAUCUGGUAUAGGCAGGGGUUGAAUUAAUCCUUGUGGUUUUUCUGGCAGGUACUUAUUUUGUUGAUACACCGAGCAAUGUUGUAUGAACUCCUUGGUGUCUCUUGUCAAUCCUGGCCAAUAGAAGGAUGCAGCUACCUUGGACAUUAUGGGUUUCACCCGAGAGUGUCCCCCUAUGGGUGAAUCGUGAAACUCGAUGAUAAUGCGCCUGCAGAAAUCUUGAGUUUGGGGAAGAAAAAUCUGGUUGCGGAAGAAGAGUAGGCCUUGGCUAGUGGAGAAUUGACUGGGUAAUGGUUGGUUGCUGGUGAGUGACAGUAUUAAAUUUUUGCCCUCUUUGGUGUUGAAGUAUUGUUGUAACUCUUUGAAUAUGAUGGGGAUCGGUGAGGAGACAGCUAACAAUACCAAGAGGGGUGGCGGCUCUUGGCGGGAUAGUGCAUCAGCCACAACAUUGUGUUUUCCAGGUUUGUAAAUUAUUUUAAAGUCAUACCCUUGGAGUUUUGUUGUCCACUUUUGUUGUUCUGGUGUCUGGAUUGUUUGUGAUAGCAGUGUAUUGAGGCUCUUUUGAUCUAUGUAUAUUGUGAAAUGGUUCCCUAACAAGUAUUGACGCCAUUUUUUUACUGCUUCUGUGAUUGCAUACAUCUCUCUCACAUACACUGAUGCUGCUUGGAGACGGGGACACAUCUUUUUGCUGAAAAAGGCGAUUGGGUGACUAGCUUGGUUGAGGACUGCUCCGACGGCCACUGCGGAGGCAUCAGUGUCUACCACAAAAGGUUGUGUGAAAUUUGGAAGAUGUAGGUUAGGGACUUUAGCUAUUUCCGCCUUCACUGUUGUAAAUGCCUGUUGUGUCGUGUUUGGCCAUGUAAAUUUUUGACAAUGUAAUAAAUCGGUGAGAGGAGCGGCGAGAGUGGCGUAAUCACAAACGAAUUUUCUGUAAAAUCCGGUGAGGCCGAGGAAUGCUCUUAAAGUUGUGAGUGACCGUGGUUGUGACCAUUUUGUGAUUGCCUUUAUUUUUUCUGGGUCAGGGGCCACUCCAGCUUGGGAAAUGAUGUGGCCCAAGUAACUGACUUUUGAAGUAGCAAAACUGCAUUUAGAAAGCUUAGCAAACAAUAGAUGUGUUUGUAACAAUUUCAGAAUAAGCUCGAAAUGGAGCAAAUAGUUAUGCAGUGUGGGGCUGUAAAUAAGAAUGUCAUAAAAAAAACUAAAACAAACCAUCUAAGAAAAGGUCGUAAUAGAUCAUUCAUGGUUGCUUGAAAUGUGGAGGGAGCAUUAGUCAAACCAAAAGGCAUAACUAGAAAUUCAUAGUGUUCAUUUAUGGUCCUGAAGGCUGGUUUGUGAGUGUCAUUUGGGUUGGGCCUAAUUUGGUGGUACCCUGAGAAUAGGUCAAUUUUGGUAAAAAUUGUAGCUGACCCCAAUUCAUCUAGCAAUUCAUCAAUAAUGGGUAUGGGAAAGCGGUCACGGAUGGUGACUGCAUUGAAUGCCCGAUAAUCAACACAAAAGCGCCAUGUCUCGUCUUUCUUUUUGAUGAGCAGGAUUGGGGAUGAAAAAGGGCUGGUACUGGGUUUGAUGAACGCUUCCUACAACAUCUCUGCAAUUAAGUGGGUGAUUGUGUGUUUUUAAGAAUGGGGGUAUCUGUACGGGCGUACAUUAACUGGACCAGUUUUGGGUAAGAGGGGAAUAUGGUGGUCAUGGGGUCUUGGUGGGGGUAGACCGUGGGGUAGUUUGAAGAUGGACCUGUGUUUGCGUAGGAUAGUUUGAAUGGACUGGAGUAAUUGGUAAAGUGGGGAGGAUGGUGUUUGUAAGCUAGUUUCCAGGGAAAUUGGAAUCAUGGAAUGUGUGUUAAUUGAUAAUAAAUGAAGUGAAGCAAUGGUGUGGUCGGAAAUGUUGUGGCAAAGUUGAUGGUACGUAUCUUGUGUUGGGGUUGGUGGGUUUAUUGUUGUGAGGGUGAUUUGUUUAUUGAGGUGGGUGAAGGCCAUGCCGGGAAUUGCAAAAUCUGCUUGAAUGGGGCCCAAAGUGCGCAACCAUUCAAUUCCUAGAACUACAUCAACACCCUCUAUAGGUAAAAGACAGAAGGGAAUCGUGAAAACUGAGUUUUGGAGAGAUAUAUGUACCUCUGGACAAAUGCCUUGACAUGUUAUGAAGGCACCGCUUCACCAUAACUCGAAAAGGUGGGCUGGGCUGAAUGGGUAGGUGUAAAUGUUUGGCAAUGUGAGGUUGAAGGAUGUUGUGUGAGCUGCCAAAGUCUAUGAGAACAGUAACUGGUAAAUUAUGAUGGUGUGGUCGGAAAUGUUGUGGCAAAGUUGAUGGUACGUAUCUUGUGUUGGGGUUGGUGGGUUUAUUGCUGUGAGGGUGAUUUGUUUAUUGAGGUGGGUGAAGGCCAUGCUGGGGAUUGCAAAAUCUGCUUGAAUGGGGCCCAAAGUGCGCAACCAUUCAAUUCCUAGAACUACAUCAGCACCCUCUAUAGGUAAAAGAUAGAAGGGAAUCGUGAAAACUGAGUUUUGGAGAGAUAUAUGUACCUCUGAACAAAUGCCUUGACAUGUUAUGAAGGCACCGUUUCCCACCAUAACUCGAAAAGGUGGGCUGGGCUGAAUGGGUAGGUGUAAAUGUUUAGCAAUGUGAGGUUGAAGGAUGUUGUGUGAGCUGCCAAAGUCUAUGAGAACAGUAACUGAUAAAUUAUGGAUGAGACCUUGGACCUUUAGAGUUUGAGGGGAAAAUUUUCCUGUGAGAGCAUAGGGAGAUAGGUGGAAAUGAACCAUAUCUUCUGUCUGGUCAAGAUCUGGAGGGGUGUGUAGAAUUUCAGGGACUGGUUCUGUGUCAUCUAAGAGGAGGAGAAAACGUGAUAUGGAGCAUUUAUGACCUGGUAGAAAUUUCUCAUCACAGUUAUAACAUAGGCCAAGAGCUCUGUGUUCUUGCAUUUGGGUGGGACUGAGGCGUUUAAUUGGAAGGGUAUGAGGUGUGGGUUGAUGCUUUGAGAUCGGUUAAUGUUGGUGUUGAUGGGAUUCAAAACAGUGGUUUAUGUAGGGGGUCGGGUUGGUUUAGGUUUGGAAUCUUUAAUUUUGUCUUCAAUAAGCUUAGCUAGGCCAAUAGCUUGUGGGAUGGAAUAAGGGUUCAGGAUUGCAAGUUCUCUCCGGAUCUCAAGGUUGAGACCUGAUAUGAAGCAGUUAAGGAUGGUUUCUGAACUUAAGCCAUGGACACAAAUGCAUAAUUUUUCAAAUCUGGUUUGGUAGUCCGUGACUGUGGUUUGUUGGUGGAGUUUGAAAAGUUCAGCUUGAUGGUUUGUGUAUGAGGAAAACCCAAAACGUAAUUCUAAGGAACGUGUGAAGGAUGACCAAUCAAUAAUAAGAUGAUUUUGGUGCAUCCAUUUAAACCAGCUAAGGGCUUCCCCUCUCAUGUGAAAAGGAACCAUGGAUAAUCUAUUUUCUGGGGAAAUGUGAUAAAAGUUGAAGUAUUGUUCUGCUUGGAACAGCCAGUCCAGGGGGUCGGAUCCUUCAAAAAAAGUAAGUUGGAGUUUGGGUGGUUUGAUUGGUGGAAGAGGCGGGGGCACGGUGGUGGUUUGUUCAUGUGAACUAAUAAAUGGUGAUGAUUGAGGAAUAGGAAUAGUGGAAACCUAGUCCUGCAACACCGUAAUGGAAGAAUGAAGGAAAUCAUUCCUUGCCUCAAGGUUGGACUGACGAGCUUCAUUAGCCUCCAUUUGAGACUGGAUGGAAGUGAGGCAGUCCUGGAUGGCCUGAAGAAUGUCUUCCAAUUCUUUGGGUAUAAGUUUGGGAGGCAUGGAGAAAGUCGAUGAAAGCACCAAUGUUAGGGUAUGCCGCAAUAUCUACCUUGCUAACAAAUACUCAGGGAAUUAAUAUUAGGGUAAAAUUGUUCUCUCCUUUAUUUCCGAAAACAACAUCACUUAUAUAGUGAUGUUUAGGGUUACAAAAUUUGGGCUUUUAUAUGAGCCCCUUAACAUUUACUAUUAGCACUACCCUAAUUCCUUAUGAAGUCCCUCAUCCAAAAGGGUUGUUUGGUUUGUCUAUUGGGCCUCCUUGAGACAUUGGACUCUUCUCUAUCAUUAGAACACUGACGUCGUGCGAAACGAAAAUUUGUUCUGAACCCUUCAACUAGAGAGAAACCACCCCCUUAAACCUCGAUGGGGGGUUUGUUCAUAAUUAACCGAGUUGUUAAAAAAAUACUUAAAGUUGCCUACAAAAUUAAAUUGUUUAAAAUAAAAAUCACAUUAUUGUUUUAUUAAUUUUAAUUUUAAAAAUUACUCUUAGAUAAAAAAAAAUAUUAGAUUAAAUUAAAGUAUAAAAUAUAAUAUUAAAAAAUAUGCUUCAAACUGUUUUAAAAUUUGGUUUAACUUUACAAUAGUUAAAAUAAUUAGAUUUAAUUACUGCACUUUUUACUAACGCGUGGAUCUUUUAGGAAUGAAAUUAAGUGUUUAUUUUACUGCGUCACAUUUUCUCAAAUUCACUAGGUGAAACACUAGUUCCACUUACAUAAUAAAUGUACCGGUAGUAAUAUGUUGACAUAAAAAAAAUAUACACUUAACAAAUAAAUAAAUUAAUAUUUUAAUUAUAUUUAAUUUACUUUUAAUUUAAAAUAUUAUUAUAUUAUUAUAAUGUAGUUUGUGAAUUAUAUGUAUUUUACUUUUUAAUGUCAAUAAAAUAUUUUUCUAAAUGUACAACGGGCCGAGAUGUACUAUUCAGAACAUUUUAGAUAUGUAGCUCCUUCAAUUUUCAUAGAUCUUGUACUUCGUAUAAGAUUAAUACAUUAAUUAUCAAUAUUUAUGUUAAUAUAAAUGUAUUAGCAUAAAAAUAUAAGCUAUCUUUAUAAAAAUGAACAAUAUUAUGUUAAAAUACAUAUUCAAUAAUAUUUAUUAUCUUUAAUUAUAAAAUAUUUAAAAUUAACUUGAGUAUGAGGUAACCUUCUUCAAGAACCUACAGAUAGCUAAAUACAGAGAACUGUUAGAAGCACACAUAAAAAAAAUCUGAAGUGUAUGCACAACGAAAGAGAUAUGAUCUACUAAAUCCAUAAAAAGUUACAGGACAAUAAAGUUUUAUUCCCUUCACAUAUAAAAAAAUAUUAUUUUAUUAAAAAAAUUAUUAAGUGAUUGUUUUUUACUUUUAGAGAGUAUGAAAGAAACUUCAUUCAAAAUUAUAAAUUUUUUAUUAAUGUAAUGUCUAUUUGACUUAUCAGAUUAAGAUUUUUUUUUUUUAAUCAGACACCAUUCUUUUUAACUUUUAAAAUUGUUGGGGGAAUUCCGGAAGAUGCAAUUUUACAAGUGAGAUAAAUUCAACUUAUAUUAUAAGAAUAAGUUACUUAAAUAAAAGGGUACUGUUAUAUUGAUACCACAUAGUAAUAAACACACUGUAAUUAACACUUACUUUGACACCACACAGUAAUAAAUUGACAAGCCAAUAAAUUAAUAUUUUAAUUAUAUUUAAUUUAAACAUUAUUAUAUUAUUAUAAUGGAUUUCAAUUAUAUGUGUUUUACGUUUUUGGGUGUAAAAAAAAUAUUUUCCUAAAUAAAAUUGAUAUUAAUAACUUUUAGUUAACAACUUCAAUAGGUAUUAAUAAACUGAGUGGUUGAGGUUAUAAAUAAUGGGUUGUGUUGUCCCCAGAUAAACUAAAAAACACUGGAGAAUGCAGUCAAGUAAGCCAUGCAUAUCAGACAACUCAAGCUGGCAUAGUUGAUAAAUCAGAUACAAUUCACAUGGCAGGAUAAAUAUUUUAUAUAUGUCUCUCUUUACUCGAAGUUUAACAUGAAGCAACAGACCCCAACUACUUCUUUUGUACUUUGAUUUAUUAUUGCCCCAAGUACUGCUUAAUCAUUAAUUUAAGCAAUUCAAAAAAUUAUCCUACUCAGCACUGCAUAUAUACACACGCACAGGCACACUAGCAUAAUUUAUACUUACUGCAAAUGACUGAGAAACUCAAUUCACACUCACCAUAGCUAGCAGUUUAGCACUGCAUAAUCUAAUACUGUUUUUUGAUUCUAGCUACAUGCAUAAUCAUGCCCACAUAGUUUAUAUAAUUUAAUAGGGUCGCUCUCCAACAUAAUUGCCCACGGGAUCAUAAUUACAAGUCAUGAACACAUCUCCAUCAUCGCAUACAACUCGUGCACAUCCAAUUCUUCUGGUGCUCUUCCACACUAUCUGAGUGUAAUGGCCACACAUCUGACCNNNNN
rnacentral:lncRNA from 1 species